GGCAGUGAAUAUCCACGACAUCUCGGAGUGUUUGAUGACAUGAAGGAGCGACAACCGUGACAAGUCUGGUCAUUUCAAAAUCUGCCCGAUAUCAUCACUUUUUCCCCUCUGCUCUCUGCCGUCUGCUCAAGUUCUCAGAAAGAGUGUGCAGUUUCUGGCCGCCGCAAGACCGACCACGGCGUCCACUUCUUCUUUUCCAAAUCCACCACAUUCCCAUCUUGGUGUGGCUGAUUUAAUGUUCUUAUUUACAAUCCAUCGUUUCCAAAACAGGCCGUCCAAGUGAGGUCUUGGUGCUUCUGACUGCCCAAACCUCGGCUGUGACGAAUCUUCCAGUCAUCCCACGGUAGCCCUGACUGUUAUGAACAAUGCCCGACAACUUCACAUACGCUCACAAAAAGGUCAUCAUGGCACCCAACCGUCAAUUUGAUACUUUUAUCCAUUUCUACCAAGGAUAUCUCUACUUGCAACUUACCUUUUUCUGAACCUAUUCACAUUUGGACU